AUUCCUACGGGAGGCAGCAGUAGGGAAUCUUCGGCAAUGGACGAAAGUCUGACCGAGCAACGCCGCGUGAGUGAAGAAGGUUUUCGGAUCGUAAAACUCUGUUGAUAGAGAAGAACGUUGGUGAGAGUGGAAAGCUCAUCAAGUGACGGUAACUACCCAGAAAGGGACGGCUAACUACGUGCCAGCAGCCGCGGUAAUACGCAGGUCCCGAGCGUUGUCCGGAUUUAUUGGGCGUAAAGCGAGCGCAGGUGGUUUAUUAAGUCUGGUGUAAAAGGCAGUGGCUCAACCAUUGUAUGCAUUGGAAACUGGUAGACUUGAGUGCAGGAGAGGAGAGUGGAAUUCCAUGUGUAGCGGUGAAAUGCGUAGAUAUAUGGAGGAACACCGGUGGCGAAAGCGGCUCUCUGGCCUGUAACUAACACUGAGGCUCGAAAGCGUGGGGAGCAAACAGGAUUAGAUACCCUGGUAGUCCACGCCGUAAACGAUGAGUGCUAGAUGUAGGGAGCUAUAAGUUCUCUGUAUCGCAGCUAACGCAAUAAGCACUCCGCCUGGGGAGUACGACCGCAAGGUUGAAACUCAAAGGAAUUGACGGAAU
rnacentral:rRNA from 1 species